rnacentral:lncRNA from 1 species
GUUGUUGUUGUUGUUGUUGUUGUUUUUGAGACACGGUCUCACUCCCGCCGCCCAGGCUAGUGUGCAGUGGCACGAUCUCGGCUCACUGCAGCCUUAACCUCCUGUGUUCAAGCGAUCCACCCAUCUCAGCCCCGCAAGUAGCUAGGACUACAGGCACGUGCCACCACACCUGGGUUUUGUUUUUUGUUUUUUGUUUUUCUUAUAGAGACAGGGUUUUGCCAUGCUGUCCAGGCUGACAUGGUGAAACCCCAUCUCUACUAAAAAUACAAAAAAGGCCGGGCACGGUGGCUCAUGCCUGUAAUCCCAGCACUUCGGGAGGCCAAGGCAGGCAGAUCACCUGAGGUCAGGAGUUCCAGACCAGCCUGACCGACAUGGAGAAACCCCAUCUCUACUAGAAAUACGAAAUUAGCUGGGCAUGGUGGCACAUGCCUGUAAUCCCAGCUACCAGGGAGGCUGAGGCAGGAGAAUCGCUUGAACCUGGGAGGCGGAGGUUGCAGUGAGCCGAGAUCGCGCCACUGCACUCCAGCCUGAGCAACAAGAGUGAAACUCCAUCUCAAAAAAAAAAUACAAAAAUUAGCCAGGCAUGGUGGCACACGCCUGUAAUCCCAGCUACUUGGGAGGCUGAGGCAUGAGGAUCACUUAAACCCAGGAGGCAGAGGUUGCAGUGAGCUGAGAUCGCACAAAUGCACUUUAGCCUGGGUGACAGAGCGAGACUUCAUCUCAAAAAGAAAAAAAAAAGAAAAAUGCUGGAACCCACAGAGGAUGCCGGAAAGGGGGCAGUGGUCCCCAGACUAACCCGUAUGCCAGCCAAGCACCCUCAAGUGAUCCCAGCUGGUGGCACAGAACUGAAGAUUAACCCUGCCCUCACUGUCCAGAUUCCUAACCCACAACGCUGUGAGAUAUAAUAAAAUGGUUGUGUUAACUGUUUUAAGAAUGGUGUCUGACUUGAGGUGACCGCGACUUUUACGUAGCAGUAGGUAACUGGAACAGAUGUCCAACCUCACUAGAAAUUACAGAAAACCCGGCCGGGCGCAGUGGCUCAGCCUGUAAUCCCAGCACUGUGGGAGGCCGAGGCGGGCAGAUCACGAGGUCAGGAGAUCGAGAUCAUCCUGGCUGACACGGUGAAACCCCCGUCUCUACUAAAAAUACAAAAAAUUAGCCGGGUGUGGUGGCGGGCGCCUGUAGUCCCAGCUACUCAGGAGGCUGAGGCAGGAGAAUGGCGUGAACCCGGAAGGUGGAGCUUGCAGGGAAAGCCCAAAUGACCUACCAUUUCAAUCCAUCAGAUUGACAAAUAUUAAAUGUCUCGACACAGCUGGGCGCAGUGGCUCACGCCUGUAAUCCCAACACUUUGGGGGGCCAAGGCGAGCGGAUUGCUUGAGGCCAGAAGUGUGACAGCAGCCUAGGUAACACGGUGAAACCCCAUCUCUACCAAAACUACCAAAGAUUAGCUGGGUGUGGUGGCGCGUGCCCCUGGUCCCAGUCACUCAGGAGGCUGUGGUGGGAGCCCCGGAGGAAGGAGUUGCAGUGAGCCAAGAUUGUACCACUGCACUCCAGUCUGGGUGACAAAGUGAGACCUCAUCUCAAAUAAAAUCAAUGUCUUGGGGCCAGGCACAGUGGCUCACGCCUGUAAUCCCAGCACUUUAAGAGGCUGAGGCGGGCGGAUCACCUGAGGUUCGGAGUUCCAGGCCCGCCUGACCAACACGGAGAAACCCCGUCUCUACUAAAAAUACAAAAUUAGCCAGGCCUGGUGGCGCGUGCCUGUAGUCCCAGCUACUCGGGAGUCUGAGGCAGAAGAAUCACUUGAACCAGGGAGGCAGAGGUUGCGGUGAGCAGCUGAGAUUGCACCACUGCACUCCAGCCUGGGUAACAAGAGCAACGUAAAUAAAUAAAUAAAUAAAUAAAUGUCUCAACACACGUUGGAGGGAGGUGGAACACAAACACCCCUUAUUCCAGUCAAACUGCAGACAAGUACGAGGUUCUGGCAAAGAGUGGGACAGGUCUACUGUAAUUUUACCUGUGCAUACCAGGAGACCCAGAAUUCCGCUUAGAAUCUCAUGGUAUUUAACCGGGAGCCUCACACGCCACUGCUCCUACUAGCAAAGCAUCGCGAAAACCGUCAUGGGACAUUGACUCCACAAAAACAAACAGUAUGCAACUGACCCUUGGGUCAUCCUAAGGGUCCAGGUUCUGUGAUCUUCCCAACGCCCAUGCAGAUGGCCCCGUUUUGCACAUACACCAAGGCUCUUUGAGAUGACUCUGCCAGAGUAAGCAGCCUCCAACCACUGUCCAAAGUGAAACCUGUCCCGAGCUGCCCCACACACUCCUCAGUAAGAACACGGGAGGCAAGGGGCUCCCGCACAGCUGCCAGCUGCUUCCCUGCCAAAACACCUGGAGCUGCUCCUCUGCCUCUCAGCAACUGCUUCAGGUCAGGCUGGGUGAAUUUCCCAGGGAGCCCGUUUUCACUGGCCAGGCCAAUGGCAGCGGCCAUGUUUCUGCCUUUUCAAAUCAUCGAAUCAGGCAGGACCACAGGAUGCAGUUCUGCCCACGGAG